rnacentral:rRNA from 1 species
UACGUAGGGGGCUAGCGUUGCUCGGAUUUACUGGGCGUAAAGGGCGCGCAGGCGGCUUAUUUUGUCAGGCGUGAAAGCCCCGGGCUUAACCUGGGAACUGCGUUUGAUACGGAUGGGCUAGAGUUCGGGAGAGGAGCGUGGAAUUCCCAGUGUAGAGGUGAAAUUCGUAGAUAUUGGGAAGAACACCGGUGGCGAAGGCGGCGCGCUGGACCGAGACUGACGCUGAGGCGCGAAAGCGUGGGGAGCAAACAGG